rnacentral:rRNA from 14 species
GGGCUACACACGUGCUACAAUGGAGGGUACAGAGGGUCGCUAGCCAGUGAUGGUAUGCCAAUCUCAAAAAGCCCUUCUCAGUUCGGAUUGAAGUCUGCAACUCGACUUCAUGAAGCUGGAAUCGCUAGUAAUCGCGUAUCAGCAAUGACGCGGUGAAUACGUUCCCGGACCUUGUACACACCGCCCGUCAAGCCAUGGAAGUUGGG